rnacentral:rRNA from 1 species
GACGGAGGGGGCAAGCGUUGUCCGGAAUUACUGGGCGUAAAGCGCACGUAGGCGGUCGUGUACGGCGGUGGUGAAAGCUCCCGGCUCAACUGGGAGAGGCCCGCCGCAACGGCACGGCUUGAGGGUGGUAGAGGCGGAUGGAAUUCCUGGUGUAGCGGUGAAAUGCGUAGAGAUCAGGAGGAACACCCGUGGCGAAGGCGGUCCGCUGGGCCAUGCCUGACGCUGAGGUGCGAAAGCCAGGGGAGUGAACGGG